rnacentral:rRNA from 1 species
GACGAACGCUGGCGGCGUGCUUAACACAUGCAAGUCGAACGGAAAGGCCCUGCUUUUGUGGGGUGCUCGAGUGGCGAACGGGUGAGUAACACGUGGGUAACCUGCCCUUGACUUUGGGAUAACUUCAGGAAGCUGGGGCUAAUACCGGAUAGGAGCUCCUGCUGCUUGGUGGGGGUUGGAAAGUUUCGGCGGUUGGGGAUGGACUCGCGGCUUAUCAGCUUGUUGGGGGGGUAGGGGCUUACCAAGGCUUUGACGGGUAGCCGGCCUGAGCGGGUGACCGGCCCCAUUGGGACUGAGAUACGGCCCAGACUCCUACGGGAGGCAGCAGUGGGGAAUAUUGCACAAUGGGCGGAAGCCUGAUGCAGCAACGCCGCGUGCGGGAUGACGGCCUUCGGGUUGUAAACCGCUUUCGCCUGUGACGAAGCGUGAGUGACGGUAAUGGGUAAAGAAGCACCGGCUAACUACGUG